rnacentral:tRNA from 1 species
CAGGGAGACAACAAAAUGUUUAAUAUUAUUAUUUUGUCACCUUAGGUCGAUCGGUAUCUCACAUUCUUAAUUUAUUAAGGAUUUCAUUUCCUAAGUUUUUUCUAGGUCACACCCAUUAUUUUUCCUGGGCCAUUAGCUCAGGUGGUUAGAGCGCACCCCUGAUAAGGGUGAGGUCCCUGGUUCAAGUCCAGGAUGGCCCAUAUCUCUAUGUUGGGGGUAUAGCUCAGUUGGUAGAGCGCCUGCUUUGCAAGCAGGAUGUCAGCGGUUCGAGUCCGCUUACCUCCACUGAUUACCACCUCUUACAUAAUCUGAUAAAGGAAAUGUUUUGAGUUGUGAUCAAAUUCUGAACGAUUCUAGCUUCCUAAUGAAAUCAUUAAGAUGCUGGACUCAUUGAAUUAAUUUCAUUGUUUUCAGAGAACCUUGACAACUGCAUAGAUUAUUUUUAAAGACAAUAAGCAUCUUUAAUGAUGCAGAUUUAUUAUUUGUGCGAAUGCAUUAAAUAACAAUUCUAUUAAGCUGAUGCUUCAAUUAUUGAAGUUAUU